AUUGAACGCUGGCGGCAGGCCUAACACAUGCAAGUCGAACGAGUGGCGGACGGGUGAGUAAUUUCUUGGAAACUGCCUGAUGUAGCGGGCUGACUACUGGAACCGGUAGCUAAUACCGCUUACCAUCAUAUGUGCCCAGAUGGGUUUAGCUUGUGGGUGGGGUAACGGCUCACCAAGGCGACGAUCCCUAGCUGGUCUGAGAGGAUGACCAGCCACACUGGAACUGAGACACGGUCCAGACUCCUACGGGAGGCAGCAGUGGGGAAUAUUGCACAAUGGGCGCAAGCCUGAUGCAGCCAUGCCGCGUGUAUGAAGAAGGCCUUCGGGUUGUAAAGUACUUUCAGCGGGGAGGCGUUACCCGCAGAAGAAGCACCGGCUAACUCCGUGCCAGCAGCCGCGGUAAUAC
rnacentral:rRNA from 1 species